rfam:Lingula anatina scaffold14, whole genome shotgun sequence.
AGCUGGAUAGCUCAGGUGGUAGAGCACUCGCCCUGUUAGCGAGAGGUCUCGGGUUCGAUCCCUGGUCUGGCAG